CCUACGGGUGGCUGCAGUGAGGAAUAUUGGUCAAUGGGCGCAAGCCUGAACCAGCCAAGUAGCGUGAAGGAUGACUGCCCUACGGGUUGUAAACUUCUUUUAUGAAGGAAUAAACUGAGGCACGUGUGCCUUAUUGCAUGUACUUUAUGAAUAAGGACCGGCUAACUCCGUGCCAGCAGCCGCGGUAAUACGGAGGAUCCGAGCGUUAUCCGGAUUUAUUGGGUUUAAAGGGAGCGCAGAUGGGUUGUUAAGUGUGUUGUGAAAUGUUGCGGCGCAACCGUAGAAUUGCAGUGGAGACUGGCAGCCUUGAGUACAGUUGAGGUAGGCGGAAUUCGUGGUGUAGCGGUGAAAUGCUUAGAUAUCACGAAGAACUCCGAUUGCGAAGGCAGCCUACUAAACUGCCACUGACAUUGAGGCUCGAAAGUGUGGGUAUCGAACAGGAUUAGAUACCCUAGUAGUC
rnacentral:rRNA from 1 species